CUUAAUUGGGCGUUAAGUUGCAGGGUAUAGACCCGAAACCCGGUGAUCUAGCCAUGGGCAGGUUGAAGGUUGGGUAACACUAACUGGAGGACCGAACCGACUAAUGUUGAAAAAUUAGCGGAUGACCUGUGGCUGGGGGUGAAAGGCCAAUCAAACCGGGAGAUAGCUGGUUCUCCCCGAAAGCUAUUUAGGUAGCGCCUCGUGAAUUCAUCUCCGGGGGUAGAGCACUGUUUCGGCUAGGGGGCCAUCCCGGCUUACCAACCCGAUGCAAACUGCGAAUACCGGAGAAUGUUAUCACGGGAGACACACGGCGGGUGCUAACGUCCGUCGUGAAGAGGGAAACAACCCAGACCGCCAGCUAAGGUCCCAAAGUCAUGGUUAAGUGGGAAACGAUGUGGGAAGGCCCAGACAGCCAGGAUGUUGGCUUAGAAGCAGCCAUCAUUUAAAGAAAGCGUAAUAGCUCACUGGUCGAGUCGGCCUGCGCGGAAGAUGUAACGGGGCUAAACCAUGCACCGAAGCUGCGGCAGCGAACGUAUCACUUAAAGCGAUUCAGCGGAUGACGAUU
rnacentral:rRNA from 1 species